GUACUGUGUGUGUGUUCUCUCUCUGCAGGUCUGUUUGACACUCAUGGAAAAGUUCGUGAUCGUUGGACUCCAGCCAUCUUCCUCUUCGUCACUCUGGCGUCCAUCUCUGCUCUGCUGCUGGUGACCUUCGUGGUCAUCACGCUGAGACGUCGCGGUCUGUCUCGCCGUCCGUCUUCCAUCAGUGAUAAGGAGGAACUGCUUCCAGAACCAGACGAGCAGUCAUCUCUGGAGUCUCUGACUGUCCCAGAGAGUCCCAAACCGGACAAGGCCUGAGGAGAGGCCCUGCAGGGGCCCUGGGGCCCCACGAGGGGGGGGGUCCAGAGCAUAGCCUGAGGCCCUGGUCUGAUCCUGCUGUAAUUCUCUUUAAUAAUAAUAAUAUUAAUAACAUAGAGCUGUUGCUGUGGUUUUGGGUUUAACUUUCUUCCUGUAGCUCAGCUGAUGAUGAUGAUGAUGGUGAUGAUUCAGUCUGACUUUAAUUAAACUGUCAUUAAUAAGUCAGACCUGUGAUUAUUAUUUUACUGUUGACUUCCUGUCUUUAAUCUGUAACUAAAGAGAUUUGUGUGUUUUUCUUAGUUCUUUUUAUAUCAGCAAUAUGAAGGUGUCACUUUGACCUCAGGUGACCUCUGGUGACCUUAGGUGACAUCAGGUGACCUCAGGUGACCUUAGGUGACAUCAGGUGACCUCAGACAGAAGUUUGAUUCAUUUUUAUAUUUUAUAACUUUACCUUUUAAACGUGGGAUCAUAUGAGCUGCACAGUGUCGCAGGGCAGCGUCUUAAAAUCAGGAAGUGUCAGAGAAGCAGCAGAGAUGUUCAUUGAAGACUCCGUUUCCCAUGAUGCAACAUGAUCAAGUCUUUGAUUAGAGUCAGGUGACCUGUUACAGUCCUGCUCCAGGUCAGACGUUAACACGUGGAUCUUUAGUUUCAAUUUUAAAGUCAGAAUCUUUUAUUGACCCAUGGUGUGUUGAUCAUCAGCUUAAACUGACAUUACAUUUAUUUUGACUUUUGUCUGUAAAAUUCUGAUGUUAAUGUUAAGUUUUACUGUCAGUAAAUGUAAAGAUUAUUGAAUGAUAAUUUUGAUCAGAGUUUCAAAAAUAUAAAUAUUUGAUUGUGUUUUAUUGAUCCUCAGUGAUGAUUUGUUAUUUUCUGACCUGAAAGAGAAGGACAUGAAGUUUUAGUGUGAAUCGGCACUUUCAGGUUUUACUUCCUGUCCUCAGUCACACUUCCUGUUCAGAGACGUCUUGUCUGAUUUUAAUAUCAUCUGUUGUUGAUUAUUGAUUUUAAUAAAGUGAAGGUCUCACCUGUUUAUUCAAUAAAAGUUUAUUAACACGUCA